rnacentral:tRNA from 1 species
GCCCUGGUGGUGCAAUGGUUAAGCACUUGGCUGCUAACCGAAAGUUGGUGGUUCAAACCCACCCAAUGACC